rnacentral:rRNA from 1 species
AGGGUUUGAUUAUGGCUCAGAGUGAACGCUGGCGGCGUGCUUAACACAUGCAAGUCGAACGAGAACGGGUUAUAGCUUGCUAUAACUGUCAGCUAAGUGGCGCACGGGUGAGUAAUAUAUAGGUAAUGUGCCUUGAAGAUGGGGAUAAUUGUUGGAAACGACUUGUAAUACCCGAUAUGCCUUUAAUACAUAAGUAUGCAAGGGAAAUAUUUAUAGCUUCAAGAUCGGCCUGUACGGUAUCAGCUAGUUGGUAGGGUAAUGGCCUACCAAGGCAACGAUGGUUAGCGGGUCUGAGAGGAUGAUCCGCCACACUGGAACUGGAACACGGACCAGACUCCUACGGGAGGCAGCAGUGAGGAAUAUUGCGCAAUGGGGGAAACCCUGACGCAGCGACGCCGCGUGGAUGAUGAAGGCCUUAGGGUCGUAAAAUCCUGUCAGAUGGGAAGAAAUGCACGUAAGAAUAAUACCUUAUGUGUUUGACGGUACCAUCAAAGGAAGCACCGGCUAACCCCGUGCCAGCAGCCGCGGUAAUACGGAGGGUGCAAACGUUGUUCGGAAUUACUGGGCGUAAAGCGCGCGUAGGCGGUUUGUUAAGUCAGAUGUGAAAGUCCAUAGCUCAACUAUGGAAGUGCAUUUGAAACUGGCAGACUUGAGUACUGGAGGGGGUGAUGGAAUUCCCGGUGUAGAGGUGAAAUUCGUAGAUAUCGGGAGGAAUACCGGUGGCGAAGGCGAUCACCUGGCCAGAUACUGACGCUGAGGUGCGAAAGCGUGGGGAGCAAACAGGAUUAGAUACCCUGGUAGUCCACGCCGUAAACGAUGUCUACUAGGUGUUGGGGCGGUUAAUCGUCUCAUUGCCGGAGCUAACGCAUUAAGUUGACCGCCUGGGGAGUACGAUCGCAAGGUUAAAACUCAAAGGAAUAGACGGGGACCCGCACAAGCGGUGGAGCAUGUGGUUUAAUUCGACGAUACGCGAAGAACCUUACCUGGCCUUGACAUACCAAGAACCUAAUAGAGAUAUAAGGGUGCUAGUUUACUAGAACUUGGAUACAGGUGCUGCACGGCUGUCGUCAGCUCGUGUCGUGAGAUGUUAGGUUAAGUCCUGCAACGAGCGCAACCCUCGUGUUUAGUUACUAACAGAUUAUGCUGAGGACUCUAGACAUACUGCCUGGGCAACCAGGAGGAAGGUGAGGACGACGUCAAGUCAUCAUGGCCCUUACGGCCAGGGCUACACACGUGCUACAAUGGGGUAUACAAAGAGCCGCAAUACCGCGAGGUGGAGCAAAUCUCAUAAAAUAUCUCCCAGUUCGGAUUACACUCUGCAACUCGAGUGUAUGAAGUUGGAAUCGCUAGUAAUCGUAGAUCAGCAAUGCUACGGUGAAUACGUUCCCGGGUCUUGUACUCACCGCCCGUCACACCAUGGGAGUUGAAUUCAUUCGAAGCGGGGAUGCUAAAAUAGCUACCUUCCACAGUGGAUUUAGUAAC